CGUUUACGGGGAGGCAGCAGGUGGGGAAUUCCUUCCCGACAAGUGGACAAAGUCUGACGGAGCAACGCCGCGUGAGUGAUGAAGGUCUUCGGAUUGUAAAGCUCUGUUAAUCGGGACGAAAGAGUUCUGUGUGAAUAAUGCAGAAAAGUGACGGUACCGGAAUAGAAAGCCACGGCUAACUACGUGCCAGCAGCCGCGGUAAUAAGG
rnacentral:rRNA from 1 species